ensembl:misc_RNA
UGUCCAUAUCCGCAUUUAGUAAAACUCCACCCAUAGUGCAUUUGCAUACCAGUGAGAAAACCAGUAUUCUCUAUCCCUGAGUGAAUCAC